GCGGCUUUAGCUCACUUGGGAGAGCGUCAGACUGAAGUCUCAACGUGGCUAUCUGAAGGCACUGUGUUCGAUCCACAGAAGCCGCA
rnacentral:tRNA from 2 species